rnacentral:rRNA from 1 species
GACGAACGCUGGCGGCAUGCCUUACACAUGCAAGUCGAACGGACCUAGCGAUAGGUUAGUGGCGAACGGGUGAGUAAUACAUGAGCAACCUGCCUCAAACAGGGGGAUAACACCGGGAAACUGGUGCUAAUACCGCAUAAGACCACAGCGCGGCAUCGCGCAGGGGUAAAAACGAUUCAGUGGUUUGAGAUGGGCUCAUGUCCCAUUAGCUAGUUGGUGAGAUAACAGCCCACCAAGGCGACGAUGGGUAGCCGACCUGAGAGGGUGAUCGGCCACAUUGGGACUGAGACACGGCCCAGACUCCUACGGGAGGCAGCAGUGGGGAAUAUUGGGCAAUGGGCGAAAGCCUUACCCAGCAAUGCCGCGUGAGUGAAGAAGGUCUUCGGAUUGUAAAGCUCUUUGAUCAGGGACGAACACAAUGACGGUACCUGAAGAACAAGCCCCGGCUAACUACGUGCCAGCCGCCGCCGUAACAC